rnacentral:rRNA from 1 species
CACUCCUACGGGAGGCAGCAGUGGGGAAUAUUGCACAAUGGGCGCAAGCCUGAUGCAGCCAUGCCGCGUGUAUGAAGAAGGCCUUCGGGUUGUAAAGUACUUUCAGCGGGGAGGAAGGCAAUACGGUUAAUAACCGUGUUGAUUGACGUUACCCGCAGAAGAAGCACCGGCUAACUCCGUGCCAGCAGCCGCGGUAAUACGGAGGGUGCAAGCGUUAAUCGGAAUUACUGGGCGUAAAGCGCACGCAGGCGGUCUGUCAAGUCGGAUCUGAAAUCCCCGGGCUCAACCUGGGAACUGCAUUCGAAACUGGCAGGCUUGAGUCUUGUAGAGGGGGGUAGAAUUCCAGGUGUAGCGGUGAAAUGCGUAGAGAUCUGGAGGAAUACCGGUGGCGAAGGCGGCCCCCUGGACAAAGACUGACGCUCAGGUGCGAAAGCGUGGGGAGCAAACAGGAUUAGAAACCCUGGUAGUCCCA